rnacentral:rRNA from 1 species
AUUGAACGCUGGCGGCAGGCCUAACACAUGCAAGUCGAGCGAGCGGCGGACGGGUGAGUAAUGUCUGGGAAACUGCCUGAUGGAGGGGGAUAACUACUGGAAACGGUAGCUAAUACCGCAUACCAUCAGAUGUGCCCAGAUGGGAUUAGCUAGUAGGUGGGGUAAUGGCUCACCAAGGCGACGAUCCCUAGCUGGUCUGAGAGGAUGACCAGCCACACUGGAACUGAGACACGGGCCAGACUCCGACGGGAGGCAGCAGUAGGGAAUAUUGCGCAAUGGGCGAAAGCCUGAUGGAGCAAUGCCGCGUGUGUGAAGAAGGCCUUCGGGUUGUAAAGCACUUUCAGCGGGGAGGCGUUACUCGCAGAAAAAGCACCGGCUAACUCCGUGCCAGCAGCCGCGGUAAUAC